rnacentral:rRNA from 1 species
AAUGAGACUAUCAUUAUUAGGAUUGAAGGAUGGUUCAAUGUUGUUGAUAGCAGUAAGAAACACUUGCAAAUGUAUGUCUCAUCUAUUUAAAUGUGUGCUCUAAAAAUAAAUGUACACAACUGUCACAAUAUUGUUUAGUACAAUAUUUGAAUUAGAAGUAGUAGUUUUAUGUUUUUGUUUAGUUUUAUAGUAUCUCAGUUAUGAAAUAAAUCCAAGCCUUCCUCCAAAUAGGUUUUUUUGCCUUGAUUUUUAUAAUUCAAAUAAUUUUUGUAUUUUAUAAUAUUCAAACAAAAUGGUUUGUAGAGUCAAUGUUCUCUGACUUAGGUAGCUUUAAUUUAAUGCACUAACGAAGCGUUUUACCUGAGACGAGUGCUGGGAGAGGCUGAUUAGGAUUGCAACAAGGGGGAGACGUCGAUGCUGUCGCUGGCGACCGUUACCGCGACCAUAGCUGUGGGAGUGAGGCGCCGGCGACCAUGGCAUCGACCGUGUUGGCCCAUGGUGUUUCAAAUUUUCCAUGCUCCGUUCCAGGUAGCUGCCAUUCCGAUUGAUCCCCUCCAGGUGAGUGAGCAGCUUACACUCAACCGAUGCAGGCAUCCAAAGGCUCGACUGGGUGGCUAGGAACUCAGCUGGGCUCACUUCCAUUUGCAUUCUUUUCUGCAACAUCGGAUACUCCGGAAAGUUCAUGCAUGUUUGUUUUCUGAUAUGGUUUUUCUCAUAAUGCAGGGCACAAAGAUAGGUCUCCUUUUAGUUACCAUAGAUUUUAGUUUUUUUCUGCUUACUGUCUUCUCCACUUUCUUGUCAGAUUAAGCAACUAACAAAUGAAUCUGUGCACAUUUAUACCAUUUUUGCACUCAUUUAUGGGUCCAUCUAUGUUGAGUAUGUGUGUUCUGCUAUUCUGCAACUUAAAUCAAUAGGUAGUGAGAAGAUGCGAUAGUUUGAACCUCCUCCACUUCUUCUGUACAAGAUUGGUCAUUUUCCAAAGGGAUGGAAGUAGCUGUUUAGAGGAUCCACUCACAUGAGGUAC